rnacentral:rRNA from 1 species
AUUGAACGCUGGCGGCAGGCCUAACACAUGCAAGUCGAGCGAGCGGCGGACGGGUGAGUAAUGUCUGGGAAACUGCCCGAUAGAGGGGGAUAACUACUGGAAACGGUAGCUAAUACCGCAUACCAUCGGAUGUACCCAUAUGGGAUUAGCUCGUAGGUGGGGUAAAGGCUCACCUAGGCGACGAUCCCUAGCUGGUCUGAGAGGAGGAUCAGCCACACUGGAACUGAGACACGGUCCAGACUCCUACGGGAGGCAGCAGUGGGGAAUAUUGCACAAUGGGCGCAAGCCUGAUGCAGCCAUGCCGCGGGUAUGAAGAAGGCCUUCGGGUUGUAAAGUACUUUCAGCGGGGAGGCGUUACCCGCAGAAGAAGCACCGGCUAACUCCGUGCCAGCAGCCGCGGUAAUAC